GUUUGAAAAAUUGCAUGAUCCUGACCACACAAUGAAAACCAUAUAAAUAUGAGGCUGGACGAAGACUCAGUAUCAGUUUAUUGUCAACAGAACAAUCAACAGCAUUCAAAAUGAUGAAAUUCUUGAUUCUCGCCUUUGUUGCCUUGAUGGUACUCGUCGCCACAGCCGUUGCUGAACCAGAACCACAACCAUCCGGAAUCAUUGGAGCUCCAAUUUUGGCCGCUGCCCCAGCUGUAGCCGUCGGUGGUCUUGGAUUGGGAUUGGGUGGACAUGGUGCUAUUAUUGGUUAAAAAUAUUUUCCAGCUAAAACUUCCAAACUUGUAGAAACUAGAUAAAUAAAAUUUUGAAAAUG